rnacentral:rRNA from 1 species
CCUACGGGUGGCUGCAGUGGGGAAUAUUGGUAAUCUGCGAAAGCGGGAACCAGCAACGCCGCGUGCACGAUGAAGGCCUUCGGGUCGUAAAGUGCUUUUAGAGAGGAUGAGGAAGGACAGUACUUUCUGAAUAAGCCUCGGCUAACUACGUGCCAGCAGCCGCGGUAAAACGUAGGAGGCUAGCGUUAUCCGGAUUUACUGGGCGUAAAGCGCGUGCAGGUGGUCUUGUAAGUUGGAUGUGAAAGCUCCCGGCUUAACUGGGAGAGGUCGUUCAAAACUGCAGGACUUGAGAUUGGUAGAGGGAGGUGGAAUUCCGGGUGUAGUGGUGAAAUGCGUAGAUAUCCGGAGGAACACCAGUGGCGAAAGCGGCCUCCUGGACCAAUUCUGACACUCAGACGCGAAAGCUAGGGUAGCAAACGGGAUUAGAUACCCCAGUAGUC